UACAGAGGUCCCAAGCGUUGUUCGGAUUCAUUGGGCGUAAAGGGUGCGUAGGCGGCCAACUAAGUCGGACGUGAAAUCCCUCGGCUUAACCGGGGAACUGCGUCCGAUACUGGAUGGCUUGAGUUCGGGAGAGGGAUGCGGAAUUCCAGGUGUAGCGGUGAAAUGCGUAGAUAUCUGGAGGAACACCGGUGGCGAAGGCGGCAUCCUGGACCGACACUGACGCUGAGGAGCGAAAGCCAGGGGGAGCAAACGGG
rnacentral:rRNA from 1 species